ACUCGCCUAACGAGUGGGCGUCCGGCGGAAACUACAGGGCUUGGGACCGGAAGACUUGAGGGGUACGUCUGGGGUAGGAGUGAAAUCCUGUAAUCCUGGACGGACCGCCGAUAGCGAAAGCACCUCAAGACGACGGAUCCGACAGUGAGGGACGAAAGCUAGGGUCUCGAACCGGAUUAGAUACCCGGGUAGUCCUAGCU
rnacentral:rRNA from 1 species